ensembl:lncRNA
CUCGUUGAAGAUGUAGCCUCCGUGGCAAAGUGAGUUUGACAGCCCUGAUAUAGACGAUAAAUAAAAUAUGGUAAGCAGUGUUGUGCUUAAUGUAGGUGUUUAUCUCUUAGUUGUUACUCUUGUGAAUGGUUAAACAAGCCGUAGCCAGGUCUAGGAGGUCUUGGUACAGAAGAUAGAAGAGAUACUCAGAAGGUAUGAGAGAUACUCAGAAGGUAGAAGAGAUACUCAGAAGGUAGAAGAGAUACUCAGAAGGUAGAAGAGAUACUCAGAAGGUAGAAGAGAUACUCAGAAGGUAGAAGAGAUACUCAGAAAGUAGAAGAGAUACUCAGAAGGUAGACGAGAUACUCAGAAGGUAGAAGAGGUACUCAGAAAGUAGAAGAGAUACUCAGAAAGUAGAAGAGAUACUCAGAAAGUAGAAGAGAUACUCAGAAAGUAGAAGAGAUACUCAGUCAGAGGUGUAGAUGACUAGACAGAACAGGCCCGAUGCUCCAGUAUCACAGGCCAUUGAUCAAAAGGAAUGUCGGCACACAGCAUAUUGUUUUAUCUAUCAGGUUAAGGGGGAGGGGCUCAACUCCAAGGAAUGGGAAUAACUAACAUGACAUCAGUCCCACAGGGUCAUUCUUGAGCUGCGGUAAUAUAUAUAUUUUUAAAUUAAACUUUUUUUUUUUUUACUAGAAUAAAUGCAUUUUCUGAAUCCCCACAAAAUGAAGAACAUAUUAAACCUCCAAGAAAGCAUUUACCUUCAACCCCGUCACAGACAACAUGGAAGUUGUCUGAAUAUGAUUCUAAAAGAUACUUGUUAUAAAAUCAACAUCUACCUAAUGCCCAAAUAAAUACAAUUAUUAGAAAUAUAAAAUCUCAGAAAUGUUUGCUUUUAUUAAAACCCUG